AGUCAUNGGGUGNAAAACCNAAAGGCGCAAUGAAAGUGNCUGGGGGNGCCNCAGGCGNCCNCGGCGGGAGGAUGGGNCNCCGGCCCCCCGGCCGGAGCCCCGCACUCCCGGGGCGUCUCNUUCUCNNNNNGAGUCGAGACGCACCAGGAGCGCACACGCUGUUACCCGAAAGAUGGUGAACUAUGCCUGGCCAGGACGAAGCCAGGGGAAACCCUGGUGGAGGUCCGAAGCGAUUCUGACGUGCAAAUCGAUCGUCUGAGCUGGGUAUAGGGGCGAAAGACCAAUCGAACNAUCUAGUAGCUGGUUCCCUCUGAAGUUUCCCUCAGGAUAGCUGGCNCUCGGNNAGNNACGAGUCUCAUCCGGUAGAGCGAAUGAUUAGAGGUGAUGGGGUCGAAACGACUUCAACCUAUUCUCAAACUCCCAAUAGAUGAGAGCCCCGGCUUGCUUGAAAGUGAAGCCGCGGGANUCGGAUCGGAGAGGCCAAGUGGGCCAAUUUUG
rnacentral:rRNA from 1 species